GUGCCAGCAGCCGCGGUAAAACGUAGGGGGCGAGCGUUGUCCGGAAUUACUGGGCGUAAAGGGUGCGUAGGCGGCUUGAUAAGUCAUGUGUGAAAUACCACUGCUCAACGGAGGGAUUGCAUGUGAAACUGUCAAGCUUGAGUGAAGGAGAGGCAAGCGGAAUUCCUAGUGUAGCGGUGAAAUGCGUAGAUAUUAGGAGGAACACCAGUGGCGAAGGCGGCUUGCUGGACUUUAACUGACGCUGAGGCACGA
rnacentral:rRNA from 1 species